GGUAGUUUAGCUUAAUCGGUCUAUAGUACAGAGACUCGUAAUCACGGAGGUGUGAGUUCGAGUCUCAUAGCUGGUC
rnacentral:tRNA from 1 species